UACAGAGGUCUCAAGCGUUGUUCGGAUUCAUUGGGCGUAAAGGGUGUGUAGGUGGCGCGCUAAGUCGGGUGUGAAAUUUCGGAGCUUAACUCCGAAACUGCAUUCGAUACUGGCGUGCUUGAGGACUGGAGAGGAGACUGGAAUUCAUGGUGUAGCAGUGAAAUGCGUAGAUAUCGAGAGGAACACCAGUGGCGAAGGCGAGUCCCUGGACAAAACCUGACACUGAGGCACGAAAGCUAGGGGAGCAAACAGG
rnacentral:rRNA from 1 species